CAGUUCCGACUACGGUCCAAAUCCUAAGGCUUAAACCUCUAUUUAGGGACUAAGUGUCCAAAAACACUCCAAAAAACAAAACGAAAUCUCCCGGUAAGUCACAAUAGCAGAAAAAGAUAUGGGAGAAGCAGUUAAUAGGAGAUCGGGGCUAUAACUCUCGAAACAACCGUCCGGGUCGUUACAAGUUUUCUCCUAUUUUUUUUUUAUUUUCAUGGAUUCCGUCUCUUUCUAAUUUUAUCACUUGCUUGAUAAAAAUCUUCUAGCCUCUGUUGUGUUUGUUUUUACAUUCUUUUGAAUAAUUUCUUGCUAGAUCUACAUACAUGUCAGAAGUUCUAUCUAAUUUUUAUAUGCAUGUUUGGAAAUAAAUACUUAAUUAGGUGCGUGUUUUUUGUUUCUAAUUUUGGUUGUGCGACUGUUUUUGUGUGCAAAUUUUAUUAUUAUUAUUUAUUCUUUUUGGUAAGAGGGGAAAUCCGCGGACGCUACGACCUCUGUCACAGCCUCUGCCCUUCGGGUGAGCACUCUGUGGUAAGCACUUUGUGCGCACUGGGUGAGCACUCUGUGGUGAGCACUUUGUGCGCACCGGGUAAACCUUCCCUAUGUAAUAGCCUGAAUUUUAUUAUUUGAAAUUGCCUAUUGAGGGUGAAUUCAAAAAGUUUGUUUUCUGAUUUUCUUUAGAUUUGAUUUCUUCGUUCUUAAAAAAGUGGAUCUGAAGCAGUGAGAUGCUUCUGUUCUCCAGUUUUGUUCUCUCUCUUUGAGUUUUGUGUAAUAUGUGAUUCCUAUAAAUGACUCUCACCAUUACUAUACAGUUGUAGAGUGAUGCACCUAAGGUGUUUGAUAAGGAAAUCUUUUGCGAGGCACUAUUUGGUUCUUGAACUCUUCACUAUUUCAAUGUAUUUCAUGCAUUGCAACAAACAUGGGGUGGUCUUCUUUUUUGAAACCAUAACAACCUUGAACCAAUUACCUGAUCGAGAAAAAAAUCAUUGGCGGAUUUGAGAGGAGCUGACUCGAUGAACAGGAAAACUACUAUCAAUUGAUAGGAAUCAUCAUGCAUCAUCAAUAAACCAUGGUAAACAUCAAAAUGUGCAUAUGUCAAGACGCACUAGGCUAUUCUGGAAAAGGUCUAUUAUUGAGCUCAAUUCAUGAUUGAUACACAUAGAUAUGGAACACGUAUCUCUUCAUUCACUUUAAUGUGGCUUGGCAGACNAAAUG